ACUCGUGCUCCUCGCAGCACCACCGCUCUCUCUCUCUCUACAACUACCAGACCUGAUCAUCCAUUGCCUUCCCCAAUGUCAUCCCAAAUCUGGAAACCCUCGCCCGAUCGCUACAACGGCGAAACCUAGAAAGCGCGAACAAUCUCCCCGCGAGUCUCUUCUCGUCGCCGUCGAGAACGUCCGGCGACGCCGAAUCCGGCGUCCUCGUCGGCCUCUUCGACCGUAUGCAGAACAGCACGUCCGCCGCUCGGAAACGCUCCGAGCGUCGCUAGUUCGCUCGGCAACGUUCGCAUGGCCACGGACUACUUCAGCGCCGUUCGCUCGAACCUCCCCUCUUUCGAUCGCGGACGCGGCGCGUACGGCCUCAAGGAGUCCGUCCUCGCCACCUCCCCCGUCGAGCGCUCUUGGCAAAUGCCGCGACUCCGAGGAUGCUAUCCGCCGCUUCAAUAGGUGCCUCCGGAGGCCACAAGUCCAGUGCCAAUGCGGGCGAUUUCGCGCUUCUCGCUGCUGAGUGUCAUUUGCAUGGAAAUGGUUAUGUGAGGUCGACCUCAUUUUCGGAAUAGGUGGUGUAGCGCAGGCAAGGAAUGGCAUCUGGGGCCCUAGCCAUAGGGAACUAAACAACUUGCAUUUUGCUCGACUGUUUGGCAUCAAUUUCCAUAAAGAUGGGGUCUAAGAUCUACGCGAAUUGACGAGUUCGAUGGGAUAAGGCUUCGCAUGAGUGCCUUGAUGUCCAAUCUUUUGUGGAACUAGUACCCAUUCAAGCAAUGGUACUACACAUGAUGGACUGGAGUACAAAGCGUCAGCUGGCAAGUGGGCAAAAAGAUCUGAUCUUCUGAUAAAGGAAAGGGAGAGAAAAGGAACUCGAACCUUGUCCCUUUAAAGCGGAGCUCUAAGGAUGUUACCGCAGAGCUGCUUAGAAUUCUUUCACCAGCGUAAUUUAUUGGAGUCUAUGUAAUUUAUAUGAUAGAUGAGCUCUUCAUCCUUCACCAAUGUGUCUUUUUCGUGUUUAAUUUUUCUUUUAUAGUUUCCUUACCUAGGUUUGUUUUUUGAGCAGAUUUACUGUCCCUUAAAAGAAAAAGUUGUUAGAUCGUCCCUGCCUGGGUUUAUGCUUUA